GAUGAACGCUGGCGGCGGGCCUAAUACAUGCAAGUCGAGCGAACAGACGAGGAGCGCUUUCUCUUGACGUUGGCGGCGGGCGGGUGAGUAACACGUAGGUAACCUUCCUCUAAGACUUGGAUAAAAGCGGGAAGCAGGAUCUACUAAUAGAUAAUAUGGCGAACAGUAUGGAUCGAUAGAGAAUGAUGGCUUUGCUGAUAGUUAUAGGUGGAAUUGCGCCGUAUUAGCGAGUUGGUAAGGUCACGGCUUACCAAGGCAACGAACCGUAGCCGAGCUGAGAGGAUGAUCUGCCACACUGGAACUGAGACACGGUCCAGACUCCUACGGGAGGCAGCAGUGGGGAAUGUUGCACAAUGGGCGAAAGCCUGAUGGAGCAACGCCGCGUGGGUGAUGAAGGGCUUCGGAUCGUAAAACUCUGUUGUUAGGAAAGAACAAAAGUGUAUGUAACUGUUCACGUCUUGACGGUACCUAAUGAAUAAGCAACGGCUAACUACGUG
rnacentral:rRNA from 1 species